GGUUCCAUCGGGUCAAUCCGGUGGGUUCAACCGGCUGAUAUGGUUGUAAUAAGUGAGCUAAACCGAAAAACCGGAUUUCAAAAAACCAAACUGAACAACCUAUUCUGAACUCUUCCCAUCCUAUUAGUCAAUGAAAUGGGAAGAACAAUAAAUAAAAUUUUUGUUGACAUUUUUUUAUUCAUAAAUGUUGUUUUCUUUUUGUAUAAACUUAAAAUGUUUCUUAGAAAAAAACGAUGGAUUUUUUUUCCAUUCACAUGGUGACAACAGUAGAAUGAAGAGUCUUGCUGAGAGAAUAUGAUAGAAUUUUGUAAAACAGAAUUACAUAACAAUGAAAAUGAAGGCUUUUUACAAGAAACGAAUUUUCGGUAGCAUUUAAAUGCUAUGUAGAAAAGAAUGAGAGAAAGGAAAGGCUUAGACAACAACUUAAAAA
rnacentral:sRNA from 1 species